GAUGAACGCUAGCGGCAGGCCUAACACAUGCAAGUCGAGGGAGGAGCUUUCGGGCUUCGACCGGCGUACGGGUGCGUAACGCGUAUACAAUCUGCCUUUCACAUAGGGAUAGCCCGAAGAAAUUUGGAUUAAUACCUAAUGGUAUAUAGGAGUGGCAUCACAUUUAUAUUAAAGCUGAGGCGGUGAAAGAUGAGUAUGCGUUCUAUUAGCUAGUUGGAGAGGUAACGGCUCCCCAAGGCGACGAUAGAUAGGGGUUCUGAGAGGGAGAUCCCCCACACUGGUACUGAGAUACGGACCAGACUCCUACGGGAGGCAGCAGUGAGGAAUAUUGGACAAUGGUCGGAAGACUGAUCCAGCCAUGCCGCGUGCAGGAAGACGGCCUUAUGGGUUGUAAACUGCUUUUGCAGGGGAAGAAUAAGGACUACGAGUAGUUUGAUGACGGUACUCUGCGAAUAAGCAUCGGCUAACUCCGUG
rnacentral:rRNA from 1 species